rnacentral:misc_RNA from 1 species
GUACUCUCACACUCCCAAUUACUUUGGAUUGGGAGCGGUGGACUUGGGUGUUGCUGCUUGACUGUGGCUCACCUGAAAUAUGUUAGUGCAACUCUUGAUUGGACAUAGUACGGCGUGAUAAGUGUCUUCGCUGGCUCCUCGUAAAGAGGGUGGCUGAUCAGGAGCUCUGUUGCUUCAAACUGUCUUCGGACAAUCUUCUGGCA